rnacentral:snRNA from 1 species
AUGCUUUUAAUAAAUAAAGGAAAAAAAAAACCUUUUCUUAUCAGUUUAAUAUUUGAUAUGUCCUCGAUGUGAGGACUUUAUAUUAAAUGGAUUUUUGGAACUGGGAGAUGGACUCGGAGCUUGCUCCAUCCACUCCACGCAUCGGCCUGGUAUUACAGUGCCUCCAGGAGCGGUGCACCUCCC